GUUUAAAUAAAAAACCGUUAUCUUUUUCAGUUAUUCACUGAAGAUUUCAAGUUACUCUUUGUGCACUCCGGAGUCAUUUGACCAACACUGACCUUGAUUGAGUGUUUUGGUUUUUCUGGAGGUAUGACUGUGAAGGAAACUGUUUGGAGAAUUAUGCAAAAAACAGUAACAAAUGACCUGGCAAAAAAAAAUCAACUGGACAGGAGCAAAUGAAAAAAUUCCAUUUAAAUCGACCAAACUGAAAGAUAUAAUCUUGGAAAACACACAGGUCCAACCUCUAGGUGAUGAUUAGAGCCAGGAUUCUUGCUUGGGAGGUUCACAACAUCCACUAUUGGAAGCAGGUUAGGAUCGUCCAUCUGGAAAAGGAACUGGGUCUGAUGCCACCAGCCGUCUGUAAUCUGAGAAAAAAGUGGAGUGACGACCAAAACCUGAAAGACGCAGAAGGAAGCGUGGAACUACUGUUCGAAAGGAUCGAAGAAUAGCCAGAAUGGCAAAGGUUCAGCCAGUGAUCACCUCCAGAAAGAUCAAGGAACAUCUGCAGUUACCAGCAAAACCCAAAAUUGCAGAAGAACUGUGGAAUGUAGUCUAAUCAUCCUGGACUGGAAUACCUGUUCAGAGGUGCCAGAAGUUGGUCGACUCCAUGCAACACAGAUCUCGGAAACAAUUGUUAUGCCACUAAAUAUUAGUUCAGUAAUUUAAAGUGAAGUGAAACCUCAAACAUUUUUUUCAGUUUAUAGACAAUUUUUUUGAGUUUUUAUAGAAAAAUGCUGGCACUGCUAUUUUUUUGAACAGCCUAAUAUUCAUUUUUCUUAACUUUCUGUAAAGGAUGAACACAAACUGGCUACAUUUUGUUAAUGUUUUGAUUUAGAAUUAA